UGAACAUAUUUAAAUGUUUUUCUCUAGUUAGAAGAAUUUUAGGUAACUUCCUCGGAAAACUCUUCCCCAUAAUUCCAAUAUUUCAAAGAAAAAUCAAUGAGACACGAUAUUUUACCAAACUCAGUCAAUAAACCUACUGCCAUAGACGAUAAUGUAAAUUAAAAUAAGAUUGGAAGGUGAAAUAAUGAAAAGAAUAUAAAAAAAAUAUGCAUAUGAAUAAAUUGAUCAAAUCAAAAGGUCGAGUUAGAAGCAUUCUAUGCAUGAUAUUCAUACAAAUCGAUCUAACAACAGAAGAUCAUGAACACAUAUUCCAAUCUUCCACAGUACACCGAUAUAUACAUACACUGAUAUAUGUAUAUAAUAACUCAUACAGAAGUGAGAAUUGGCAGAAAUACUGGGCACUUGUUAUGGGGAAAAGGCCAAGAAUAUCAGCAAAAACAUGAUCAAAACUGGGACGAGGAGGAGAACUGGCGGCGGCGGCGGAAGUGGUGGCAGAAACAGUGGCAACACCAAGAGUGAUAAAGUUAACAAAACCAUUAUAAUCACCCCCCUUAAACUAAAAUACCUUAACAUCAAAUCCUUCAAUGGCCUUUGAUUUUCACUGCUUUUCACCUGAAAUGCUAGACUCUGCUCAAUCCUGUACAUCUUCAUCUUCAUCCAUUACAGUCAAACAAAUCUCGAAUUUCUGCUUAUACUAUGGUGUAGUGUUGAGUUUUAGGCCCUUGUUCUGCUCUGCAACCAAGAAUUUAUGUUAUAAAAUGAAGAGAGAUUAUUGCGUUACGAGGGAGAAGGUGGGACGGGUCUUCGUCAAUUCGACACGUCAUAUGACAAGCACAAACGUAUUGUCAAAGUUUGGGUUAGAUUCAUAGCACCUGUCUGAUUUUUUUGUAAUAUUUAGGGGUGGGGAAAUUUACAGUUGGAGUCCCCAACUAAUUAAAAAUGUAGCAAAAACUGCUACAAGUAAAUUAAAAAUUACAUAACCUUUUACAUAAUGCCAAAUAACACUAUAUUAUCUGUUAGUUUAAGACACAGUAUGCUUUUUCAUCUAAUUUUUACCCUCUACAUGAUUUCAAUUACUUCUUUUGACUCUUUUUAUUUUAUUUUUUAUAUACAAACAGCAAAAUCCCCAAUAUAAUAUAUUGGCAGCCUUAGUCUCCAAGGUUCCAACAUUUCAUUUUUAUCAUGUUUGGGAUGGAAUUGAAAUCGUCCUCUUGUAUUUAGUUAAAAAUUAAAAAUUCGAUGAUACAAUCAAACAAAAAUAAAUAAAUAUGGAAAAGGAAAAUAUUAUAGAAGAUAAGGAUUGGUGGAUUUUGUACUCUUUUAUUUUUCUGUUUUCCUUUUAACUUUUUAUUUUUCUUUUUUAUUUUCUAAUAAGAAUUUUAAUUAAUAGUAAGGGUAAAUUAAACGGCGGGAUUGCAGCCUCUAAAAUAAUAGGUUGAGGAUCUACUUGCUACAUUUCCAAUAGGUUGGGGACCUAAACAAAUUGGUUUGCUUUCUCUCGCCAGAAAUCUGCCUAUGAUUAGGUUUAGAUGUCCCUACUUUGUUUCAU
rnacentral:lncRNA from 1 species